rnacentral:rRNA from 1 species
AUUGAACGCUGGCGGCAUGCUUUACACAUGCAAGUCGAACGGCAGCGCGGGCUUCGGCCUGGCGGCGAGUGGCGAACGGGUGAGUAAUACACCGGAACGUGCCCAGCAGUGGGGGAUAGCUCGGCGAAAGCCGGACUAAUACCGCAUACGACCAGAGGGUGAAAGCGGGGGAUCUUUGGACCUCGCGCUAUUGGCGCGGCCGAUGGCAGAUUAGCUAGUUGGUGGGGUAAAGGCCUACCAAGGCGACGAUCUGUAGCUGGCCUGAGAGGACGACCAGCCACACUGGAACUGAGACACGGCCCAGACUCCUACGGGAGGCAGCAGUGGGGAAUUUUGGGCAAUGGGCGAAAGCCUGAUCCAGCAAUGCCGCGUGUGUGAUGAAGGCCUUCGGGUUGUAAAGCACUUUUGGCGGGGACGAAAAAAACUGUGCCAAUACCACGGUUCGAUGACGGUACCCGCAGAAUAAGCACCGGCUAACUACGUG